rnacentral:rRNA from 1 species
CCGACCGGCGCACGGGUGAGUAACGCGUAUGCAACUUACCUAUCAGAGGGGAUAACCCGGCGAAAGUCGGACUAAUACCGCAUGAAGCAGGGGCCCCGCAUGGGGAUAUUUGCUAAAGAUUCAUCGCUGAUAGAUAGGCAUGCGUUCCAUUAGGCAGUUGGCGGGGUAACGGCCCACCAAACCGACGAUGGAUAGGGGUUCUGAGAGGAAGGUCCCCCACAUUGGACUGAGACACGGCCAA